rnacentral:rRNA from 1 species
GACGAACGCUGGCGGCGUGCCUAACACAUGCAAGUCGAGCGGAGGAUUCGAGAUGUUUACAUCGAAGGAUCCUUAGCGGCGGACGGGUGAGUAACACGUGGGUAACCUGCCUCAGAGUGGGGGAUAGCCUUUCGAAAGGAAGAUUAAUACCGCAUAAGAUUGUAGCGUCACAUGGCGCAGCAAGAAAGGAGCAAUCCGCUUUGAGAUGGACCCGCGGCGCAUUAGCUAGUUGGUGAGGUAACGGCUCACCAAGGCCACGAUGCGUAGCCGACUGAGAGGUGAUCGGCCACAUUGGAACUGAGACACGGUCCAGACUCCUACGGGAGCAGCAGUGGGGAAUAUUGCACAAUGGGCGAAAGCCUGAUGCAGCAACGCCGCGUGAGUGAUGAAGGCCU